GAGUAAAGAUUUCGGUCGCUUUGGGAGGAGCUCGCUUACUAUCAGCUUGUUGGUAGGGUAAUGGCCUACCAAGGCUAUGACGGUUAGGGGGUGUGAGAGCAUGACCCCCAGCAUUGGCACUGAAACACUGGCCAAACACCUACGGGUGGCUGCAGUCGAGAAUCUUCCACAAUGGGGGAAACCCUGAUGGAGCGAUGCUGCGUGCGGGAUGAAGGCCUUCGGGUUGUAAACCGCUUUUGUAGGGGACGAAAUUUUUGACGGUACCCUUUCGAAUAAGAGGUUGCUAACUCUGUGCCAGCAGCAGCGGUAAUACAGAGACCUCAAGCGUUAUCCGGAUUUACUGGGCGUAAAGCGUCUGUAGGGGGUUUAUUAAGUUCCAAGUAAAAUUUCAAGGCUCAACUUUGAAUUCGCUUGGAAAACUAAUAAACUGGAGUCUAGCAGAGGUGCAUGGAACUUGUGGUGUAGGAGUGAAAUCCGUUGAUAUCACAAGGAACACCAAAGGCGAAGGCAUUGCACUGGGCCAGCACUGACCCUGAGAGACGAAAGCGUGGGGAGCAAAACGGAUUAGAUACCCGUGUAGUCCACGCCCUAAGCGAUGAAUGCUAAAUGUUCGGGGAUUCGACCCCCUGGGUGUUACAGCUAACGCGUUAAGCAUUCCGCCUGGGAAGUACGGCCGCAAGGCUAAAACUCAAAGGAAUAGACGGGGAUCCGCACAAGCGGUGGAGCGUCUGGUUUAAUUCGACAGUAAGCGUGGUACCUCACCAGGGUUUGACAUCCCUUGACAGCCUUGGAAACAAGGUUUCCUUCGGGCAAGGUGACAGGUGCUGCAUGGUCGUCGUCAGUUCGUGCCGUGAGGUGUUCCGUUAAGUCGGGAAACGAACGAAACCCCUAUUGCAUGUUACAAUUUCUCAUGCAAGACUGCCCGGAUAUACUGGGAGGAAGGUGGGGAUGACGUCAGAUCUGCAUGGUCCUUAUACCCUGGGCGACACAGGCGCUACAAUGGCAGAGACAAAGGGUUGCAAAACCGCAAGGUGAAGCUAAUCCCAAAAACUUUGUCUAAGUUCGGAUUGAAGGCUGCAAUUCGCCUUCAUGAAGCUGGAAUCGCUAGUAAUCGUGAAUCAGCCACGUCACGGUGAAUAUGUUCCCGGAUCUUGUACUCACCGCCCGUCACACCAAGAGAGUUGGUAGCUCCCGAAG
rnacentral:rRNA from 1 species